rnacentral:rRNA from 1 species
CCUACGGGGGGCUGCAGUGAGGAAUAUUGGUCAAUGGACGCGACUCUGAACCAGCCAAGUAGCGUGAAGGAUGACUGCCCUAUGGGUUGUAAACUUCUUUUAUAAAGGAAUAAACUGAGUCACGUGUGCCUUUUUGCAUGUACCUCAUGAAUAAGGACCGGCUAAUUCCGUGCCAGCAGCCGCGGUAAUACGGAGGAUCCGAGCGUUAUCCGGAUUUAUUGGGUUUAAAGGGAGCGUAGACGGGUGGUUAAGCCAGUUGUGAAAGUUUGCGGCUCAACCGUGAAAUUGCAGUUGAUACUGGCGGUCUUGAGUGCAGUUGAGGUAGGCGGAAUUCGUGGUGUAGCGGUGAAAUGCUUAGAUAUCACGAAGAACCCCGAUUGCGAAGGCAGCUUACUAAACUGUGACUGACAUUGAUGCUCGAAGGUGUGGGUAUCGAACAGGAUUAGAUACCCCAGUAGUC